rnacentral:rRNA from 1 species
UACGUAGGGACCAAGCGUUGUUCGGAUUUACUGGGCGUAAAGGGCGCGUAGGCGGCAUGUCAAGUCAGGGGUGAAAUCCGGCAGCUCAACUGUCGAAGUGCCUUUGAUACUGACGUGCUCGAGGGAGGUAGGGGUGUGUGGAACUUCUGGUGGAGCGGUGAAAUGCGUUGAUAUCAGAAGGAACGCCGGUGGCGAAAGCGACGCACUGGACCUCUUCUGACGCUGAGGCGCGAAAGCUAGGGGAGCAAACGGG